rnacentral:rRNA from 1 species
GAUGAACGCUGGCGGCGUGCCUAAUACAUGCAAGUCGAGCGAACGGACGAGAAGCUUGCUUCUCUGAUGUUAGCGGCGGACGGGUGAGUAACACGUGGCUAACCUACCUAUAAGACUGGGAUAACUUCGGGAAACCGGAGCUAAUACCGGAUGAUAUUUUGAACCGCAUGGUUCAAAAGUGAAAGACGGUCUUGCUGUCACUUAUAGAUGGAUCCGCGCUGCAUUAGCUAGUUGGUAAGGUAACGGCUUACCAAGGCAACGAUGCAUAGCCGACCUGAGAGGGUGAUCGGCCACACUGGAACUGAGACACGGUCCAGACUCCGACGGGAGGCAGCAGUAGGGAAUCUUCCGCAAUGGGCGAAAGCCUGACGGAGCAACGCCGCGGGAGUGAUGAAGGUCUUCGGAUCGUAAAACUCUGUUAUUAGGGAAGAACAUAUGUGUAAGUAACUGUGCACAUCUUGACGGUACCUAAUCAGAAAGCCACGGCUAACUACGUG